rnacentral:rRNA from 1 species
AGUGAACGCUGGCGGUAGGCCUAACACAUGCAAGUCGAACGGCAGCACAGUAAGAGCUUGCUCUUACGGGUGGCGAGUGGCGGACGGGUGAGGAAUACAUCGGAAUCUACUUUUUCGUGGGGGAUAAUGUAGGGAAACUUACGCUAAUACCGCAUACGACCUACGGGUGAAAGCAGGGGAUCUUCGGACCUUGCGCGAUUGAAUGAGCCGAUGUCGGAUUAGCUAGUUGGCGGGGUAAAGGCCCACCAAGGCGACGAUCCGUAGCUGGUCUGAGAGGAUGAUCAGCCACACUGGAACUGAGACACGGUCCAGACUCCUACGGGAGGCGGCAGUGGGGAAUAUUGGACAAUGGGCGCAAGCCUGAUCCAGCCAUACCGCGUGGGUGAAGAAGGCCUUCGGGUUGUAAAGCCCUUUUGUUGGGGAAGAAAAGCAGCAGGUUAAUACCCCGCUGUUCUGACGGUACCCAAAGAAUAAGCACCGGCUAACUUCGUG